AAUCCAAAAGCUUUGGUAGAAGCGCUAGAUUUUUAAUCUAGAGAUGAUUAAAAAUAUCUUGGGUUG
rnacentral:tRNA from 1 species